rnacentral:rRNA from 1 species
GACGAACGCUGGCGGCGUGCCUAAUACAUGCAAGUAGAACGCACAGUUUAUACCGUAGCUUGCUACACCAUAAACUGUGAGUUGCGAACGGGUGAGUAACGCGUAGGUAACCUGCCUGGUAGCGGGGGAUAACUAUUGGAAACGAUAGCUAAUACCGCAUAAUAUUGAUUAUUGCAUGAUAAUUGAUUGAAAGAUGCUAUUGCAUCACUACCAGAUGGACCUGCGUUGUAUUAGCUAGUAGGUGAGGUAACGGCUCACCUAGGCGACGAUACAUAGCCGACCUGAGAAGGUGAUCGGCCACACUGGGACUGAGACACGGCCCAGGCUCCUACGGGAGGCAGCAGUAGGGAAUCUUCGGCAAUGGACGAAAGUCUGACCGAGCAACGCCGCGUGAGUGAAGAAGGUUUUCGGAUCGUAAAGCUCUGUUGUAAGAGAAGAACGGGUGUGAGAGUGGAAAGUUCACACUGUGACGGUAUCUUACCAGAAAGGGACGGCUAACUACGUG